rnacentral:rRNA from 1 species
GAUGAACGCUGGCGGCGUGCCUAAUACAUGCAAGUCGAGCGAAUGAUGAGGAGCUUGCUCCUCUGAUUUAGCGGCGGACGGGUGAGUAACACGUGGGUAAUCUGCCUGUAAGACGGGGAUAACUCCGGGAAACCGGGGCUAAUACCGGAUAACAAGAGAAGAAGCAUUUCUUCUUUUUGAAAGAUGCCUUUAAAGCAUCACUAAAAGAUGGGCCUGCGGCGUAUUAGUUAGUUGGUAGGGUAAUGGCCUACCAAGACAGUGAUGCGUAGCCGAACUGAGAGGUUAAACGGCCACAUUGGGACUGAGACACGGCCCCAACUCCUACGGGAGACAGCAGUUAGGGAUGUUCGUCAAUGGGGGAAACCCUGAACGAGCAAUGCCGCGUGAGUGAUGAAGGUCUUUAUGAUUGUAAAACUCUGUUGUAUGGGAAGAACACUAAGUAUAGGAAAUGAUACUUAGCUGACGGUACCAUGCCGGAAAGCCCCGGCUAACUACGUGCCAGCCGCCGCGGUAAUAC